AUGGACUUCCAUAGAUAUCCAGAACACAACACCCCGCACAAUGUGUUCUUGUUUCUGCCUCUCUCCCAAAAGAAACAGGAGCUUCGAGUACCCUCCCAAAUUCUCGCCGUCGACUUCUCCCCUCUCUUCCCCGGUGAACGCAGGAUUUGAGUUGGGCAAGGAUCCCUACCCUUGUAUAGUUGUGCAUGUAAUUAGGGUCUGAAUCAAUUGGAUUUGGAUUCAAGAUUUCGUCGGUGUAUUUCCUUCAGAUCUGGCCGUGCAGGCCGCCGGAGACAGAGAUGAUAGUGACGGUUGUUGCCAUAUCCGAGUCUAUUCGAUAUAGACUGGCAUGAGUAGGCCCAGGUGUUGCGGGCGUGGAGGAUUUUUGACGGUGAUUUCAGGAUAGAGGGCAGCCACGCAGGUUGGCGUUGUUGCCAGGGACAACAAGGGCCACGUUUUCGUCUCUGUAUGCAGAAUGAUGACCCCUAGUCGAAGUGUUGAGGAGGCCGAGGCAAAAUCUGCCCUCGCCGGACUGCAGGCUCUUGCAAAAUACUACAGCGGGCCUUUGAUCCUGUAGAUGGAUUGCCAUGCAAUCAUAGAAGAGCUAGCUGUGGGAGACCAAUCCAGAUCACAGUGCUAUGCCCUGAUCAAGGAUAUUAAACAAGCACUCUCAGUUUUUUCAGCAACCAGAAAUGUCAGCGACCAGGAGAUCAUCGCAAACGUCCCGGAUAAACUCUGUCCACUGAUGAUGUCUGAAUUUGUAUAUCCUCUGGAGUAGUUUCCUACUCUAGAUCUAAAAAAAGGGCAUCCUCGCAGAGGUGUCACUGACGAUGAAGGCUCAACUUUCGCCCCUUUGUCUGAACAUAUCACAGACAGUUAUGUAUAAAAUAGUGAUUGUCUGAUGUUAUCUUAGGUGAGCAGAUGGAUGAAGCGAAAACCCCAGAAUUAGUAUUGUUGUUACAUAUGUUUUGAGCAAACAACUAAAAUAAGGGUGUACUGUGCUGGUGGUUGGGAGAUUUGGUAUGAGCCCAGUCGUUGCAUCUUUCACAAUUUAGAGUUAUCAGCUGUGACGGUCGCAGGCCAUGCAACUUCACAAGGCCGAUGCUGGAAGGAGGGUGUAUUGUGCUGGUGGUUGGGGGAUUUGGUAUGAGCCCAGUCGUCGCAUCUUUCACAAUUUAGAGUUAUCAGCUGUGACGGUCGCAGGCCAUGCAACUUCACAAGGCCGAUGCUGGAAGGACGAUGAUUUCUUUGAACCCUGAUCAUUUUGUAUGUACUUUUAUAUAACUCUCUUAUGCAUGCAAGUUCUGUAUUAAGCAUUUUUAUUUUGUGUUUCCUUUUUCAUGUGAGUUCUCUUGAUCAGUUCCUGGUUGUGAUAUGCUUUGAGACUAAUAUACUUAGCAAAUUAUUGUAGCAAUAUUUUGUCUUGGUUGAUCAGGCUUAAAGUAUUGUAGAUUGCUAUCUUUGAGAUACUAUUAUGUGAUAUGAAUCUUUUUUC